AGGGUUGAUUCUGGCUCAGGAUGAACGCUGGCGGCGUGCCUAACACAUGCAAGUCGAGCGGAGAUACUUUAUAAGCUUGCUUAAGGAGUAUCUUAGCGGCGGAUGGGUGAGGAACGCGUGGAGAACCUGCCCUUCACAGGGGGAUAACAGUUGGAAACGACUGUUAAUACCGCAUAUGCUCACAGCACCGCAUGGUGCAGGGAGGAAAGCGCUAGUGGUGAAGGAUGGCUCCGCGUCGGAUUAGCCAGUUGGCGGGUAACGGCCCACCAAAGCGAUGAUCCGUAGCCGGCCUGAGAGGGCGACCGGCCACAUUGGGACUGAGACACGGCCCAAACUCCUACGGGAGGCAGCAGUGGGGGAUAUUGCACAAUGGGCGAAAGCCUGAUGCAGCGACGCCGCGUGAAGGAAGACGUACCUCGGUAUGUAAACUUCUAUCAGCAGGGAAGAAGAUGACGGUACCUGACUAAGAAGCCCCGGCUAACUACGUGCCAGCCGCCGC
rnacentral:rRNA from 1 species